rnacentral:snRNA from 1 species
AUACUUACCUGACAGGGGCGAUACCAUGAUCACAAAGGUGGUUUUCCCAGGGUGUGUUUAUCCAUUGCACUCUGGAUGUGCUGACUCCUGCAAUUUCCCCAAAUGUGGGAAACUUGACUGCAUAAUCUGUGAUCGUGGGAGACUGCAUUUGUGCUCUCUAA